rnacentral:rRNA from 1 species
UACGAAGGGGGCUAGCGUUGCUCGGAAUUACUGGGCGUAAAGGGCGCGUAGGCGGCGCAUUUAGUCAGGCGUGAAAGUCCUGGGCUCAACCUGGGAACUGCGCUUGAUACGGGUGUGCUAGAGGAUGGAAGAGGCUCGCGGAAUUCCCAGUGUAGAGGUGAAAUUCGUAGAUAUUGGGAAGAACACCGGUGGCGAAGGCGGCGACCUGGUCCGAUACUGACGCUGAGGCGCGAAAGCGUGGGGAGCAAACAGG